rnacentral:rRNA from 1 species
UACGGAGGGGGCUAGCGUUGUUCGGAAUUACUGGGCGUAAAGCGCACGUAGGCGGCUUUGCAAGUCAGAGGUGAAAGCCCGGGGCUCAACCCCGGAAUUGCCUUUGAGACUGCAUCGCUAGAAUUGUGGAGAGGUAAGUGGAAUUCCGAGUGUAGAGGUGAAAUUCGUAGAUAUUCGGAAGAACACCAGUGGCGAAGGCGGCUCACUGGACCGUUGUUGACGCUGAGGUGCGAAAGCGUGGGGAGCAAACAGG